AGUGAACGCUGGCGGUAGGCCUAACACAUGCAAGUCGAACGGCAGCACAGUAAGAGCUUGCUCUUAUGGGUGGCGAGUGGCGGACGGGUGAGGAAUACCUCGGAAUCUACUUUUUCGUGGGGGAUAACGUAGGGAAACUUACGCUAAUACCGCAUACGACCUACGGGUGAAAGCAGGGGAUCUUCGGACCUUGCGCGAUUGAAUGAGCCGAUGUCGGAUUAGCUAGUUGGCGGGGUAAAGGCCCACCAAGGCGACGAUCCGUAGCUGGUCUGAGAGGAUGAUCAGCCACACUGGAACUGAGACACGGUCCAGACUCCUACGGGAGGCAGCAGUGGGGAAUAUUGGACAAUGGGCGCAAGCCUGAUCCAGCCAUACCGCGUGGGUGAAGAAGGCCUUCGGGUUGUAAAGCCCUUUUGUUGGGAAAGAAAAGCAGCAGGUUAAUACCCCGCUGUUCUGACGGUACCCAAAGAAUAAGCACCGGCUAACUUCGUG
rnacentral:rRNA from 1 species